rnacentral:rRNA from 1 species
GAUGAACGCUGGCGGCGUGCCUAAUACAUGCAAGUAGAACGCUGAAGGAGGAGCUUGCUCUUCUGGAUGAGUUGCGAACGGGUGAGUAACGCGUAGGUAACCUGCCUGGUAGCGGGGGAUAACUAUUGGAAACGAUAGCUAAUACCGCAUGACAACAGUUAUUGCAUGAUAACUGUUUAAAAGGGGCAACUGCUCCACUACCAGAUGGACCUGCGUUGUAUUAGCUAGUUGGUGAGGUAACGGCUCACCAAGGCGACGAUACAUAGCCGACCUGAGAGGGUGAUCGGCCACACUGGGACUGAGACACGGCCCAGACUCCUACGGGAGGCAGCAGUAGGGAAUCUUCGGCAAUGGACGGAAGUCUGACCGAGCAACGCCGCGUGAGGGAAGAAGGUUUUCGGAUCGUAAAGCUCUGUUGUAAGAGAAGAACGAGUGUGAGAGUGGAAAGUUCACACUGUGACGGUAUCUUACCAGAAAGGGACGGCUAACUACGUG